rfam:Arthrobotrys oligospora ATCC 24927 unplaced genomic scaffold scaffold00215, whole genome shotgun sequence.
GCGUCUGUGGUGUAACGGUUAUCAUUAUUGCCUUCCAAGCAAUAGACCCGGGUUCGACUCCCGGCGGACGCA